rnacentral:rRNA from 1 species
GACGAACGCUGGCGGCGUGCUUAACACAUGCAAGUCGAACGGUGAAGCUCCAGCUUGCUGGAGUGGAUCAGUGGCGAACGGGUGAGUAACACGUGAGCAACCUGCCCCUGACUCUGGAAUAAGCGCUGGAAACGGCGUCUAAUACUGGAUACGAGAAGGGUCCGCAUGGGCACUUUCUGGAAAGUUUUUCGGUUGGGGAUGGGCUCGCGGCCUAUCAGCUUGUUGGUGAGGUAAUGGCUCACCAAGGCGACGACGGGUAGCCGGCCUGAGAGGGCGACCGGCCACACUGGGACUGAGACACGGCCCAGACUCCUACGGGAGGCAGCAGUGGGGAAUAUUGCACAAUGGGCGAAAGCCUGAUGCAGCGACGCCGCGUGAGGGAUGACGGCCUUCGGGUUGUAAACCUCUUUCAGCAGGGAAGAAGCGAAAGUAACGGUACCUGCAGAAGAAGCACCGGCUAACUACGUG